GCCUUCGGGUACACGAGCGGCGAAUGGGUGAGUAACACGUGGGUGAUCUGCCCUGUACUUCGGGAUAAGCCUGGGAAACUGGGUCUAAUACCGGAUAUGACCUUACAUCGCAUGGUGUUUGGUGGAAAGAUUUAUCGGUACAGGAUGGGCCCGCGGCCUAUCAGCUUGUUGGUGGGGUAAUGGCCUACCAAGGCGACGACGGGUAGCCGGCCUGAGAGGGCGACCGGCCACACUGGGACUGAGACACGGCCCAGACUCCUACGGGAGGCAGCAGUGGGGAAUAUUGCACAAUGGGCGAAAGCCUGAUGCAGCGACGCCGCGUGAGGGAUGACGGCCUUCGGUUGUAAACCUCUUUCGACAGGGACGAAGCGCAAGUGACGGUACCUGUAGAAGAAGCACCGGCCAACUACGUGCCAGCAGCCGCGUAAUA
rnacentral:rRNA from 1 species